UACGAAGGGGGCUAGCGUUGCUCGGAAUCACUGGGCGUAAAGCGCACGUAGGCGGCUUUCUAAGUCAGGGGUGAAAUCCCGGGGCUCAACCUCGGAACUGCCUUUGAUACUGCAAAUCUCGAGUCCGGAAGAGGUGAGUGGAAUUCCUAGUGUAGAGGUGAAAUUCGUAGAUAUUAGGAAGAACACCAGUGGCGAAGGCGGCUCACUGGUCUGGUACUGACGCUGAGGUGCGAAAGCGUGGGGAGCAAACAGG
rnacentral:rRNA from 1 species